CAAUUCAGACCGUCAACAUGCUGGUGCGUUUGAAUCCUUUCCUGUGCAGUAAGCUAAAUCAUCUGCACGUGACGCAGAACACAGCUAACUGGAGUUCAAGGCUGUCCCACGUCAGUCAACCUCCGAGUACCCAGUUCCUCACCGAGAUGGUUUUCCAGGAUACAGCUAAUGAACACAGCCCAAAGUUAAUUUGACUAGCGCUGCCAACAGCAGAAGAGCCUGGCUAACCUACAGACCUCAUCCGAAAAGGGUGAUAAGACGUGGAUGCCAAAUGGCAGAAGCAGAGGAAAUGACUUCAAGGCAUCUGACCCAGUGUCAAGACAUCAGGGCUAAGUGACCUCUAGAUUCUGCAAUGAAGAUAUCCUCACAGGCCCUGUGACAGCCUUGGUAGAGAAAUUGGUGGCAAGGAGAGAGGAUGUUUCCAAGCAGUUGAGCACGAAGGUGCUACAGAAAACGAUAAAGUGGUGACAGAACUGAGAGGAGGUUGUUUCCUGCUGACAGGAAUCAGGGGGUUCCAGGAAUCAGAAAUGCAACCAGAACACAGCUGCGAAAGGGUUGAAGGCUGGACUCAUCUGGAACUUCUUCACUCACGUGUCAGGUAGCUGGGCUGGGAUGACUUCAGACGGGGCUCAGCGGGGACUGUUGACCAGAGUUCAUUUAUGUGGCUUCUCCGAGUGGCUUGAGCUUCCAUACAACAUGAUGAGGAACGAGGAAUUCCCUGAGGACUUGGAGAACCACUCAGAGGAAGGGACUCCUGCAGAGCCCCGGAUCCCUGCAUUGGAGGCUGAUGAGUCCAGAUUACAAACCAAAGCCCGCCUCAUACACCAGUACUUCCAUUAGGUCAGGGCUACGGGCUGAACUGUGUCCCCCCAAAACUCACAUGUUGAAGUCCUAAGUCUCAAUAUACAAUUGCAGUUGGAGAUGGGGCCUUUAUAAAGAUGAUCACAUCCAAAUAAUGCCACUGGGUUGGGUCCUCACGCAAUCUGUGUUCUUAUCAGAAGAGAUCAGAACACAGAUGACCCAGAGAGAUGACCAUGUAAGGACACAGGGAGAAGACGCCAUACCCAAGCCCAGGAAAGAGGCAUCAGUGGAGACCAGCCCUGCUCACCUUCCAGAUUGCUGAGAAAGUCCACGGUUGAUGUUUAUGUCACCCAGUCUGUGGUGUUUAGUCAUGGCAGGCCUAGCAGACUGGCAGCGGGGAGCCCACUCAUCACACAGGCACAAUCCCAGCUACUGCCGGGGUGAAGGGUGCAGCACCUGCCAUUCUGGCUGAGUGACAUCCCCGUGCCUCUGGCUUUCCAGGGUUGUGUGGCUGUUUACUUUCUAGCAAUUAACCACCCAUUUUCUGUCUAAUAGUUCAUGUUCCACUCACCUCUGGGGCUUAGGAUCCUUGGAGAGAAAUUUAGGGUUUUUCUACUUUUUCUCUUCUGUGUCAUAUUCAGUUAGGAAGUGAUGCUGACAGCUGAUCCAUGCCAUUGGUUUUGGAAAUUUCUGAUUGAAGUAGGAUGGCAGGACCACAUCGGGACUGUGGGGUGGGAUUUGUAGAUCGAUCGAUCGAUCGAUCGAUCUACACAUACUUAUGUAUACAUAUGUAUACAUAUGUACUUUUCAUAUGAAUGAAAAGUCUCAAGAAAGUACACUUCAAAUUAUAUUUCAGUGGUAAGAGUAUAUCCUUAAAAUAACUGAAAAAUAACUGAAAAUGUGAAAGUUCUGAGUAUAGGAACAGUUGUCUCUGAGUGGCAAUAAUGGGAAAAUACUAGAAGCAAGCUAAAUAUGUAAGAUUGGGAAUGAUUACGCUUCACAGUUUAUGUGUAUCACGGAAUGCUACACUAUCAUUAAAUUUGUGUUUUAAAGGAUUCUUAGUUGCAUGGGAAAAUGGACAAGAGAGUGUUAAAGUAGGGGAACGUGUUUAUGCCCCUUUCUCUUACAAAACAUGGAGUAUGUGGGCAUACAUUGGAAGGAGGGAUGGGUCAAAGGAGAGAUGAAAACAAUUAUGUGUCUCUCAAGACUCUUUUUUAAGGAGCAAAGAAAUAAAAAGUGACUAAAAGGAAA